CCUACGGGUGGCAGCAGUGGGGAAUAUUGCACAAUGGGCGAAAGCCUGAUGCAGCAACGCCGCGUGAAGGAAGAAGGGUUUCGGCUCGUAAACUUCUAUCAACAGGGACGAAAGAAAUGACGGUACCUGAAUAAGAAGCCCCGGCAAACUACGUGCCAGCAGCCGCGGUAAUACGGAGGGGGCAAGCGUUAGGCGGAAUUACUGGGUGUAAAGGGUGAGUAGGCGGGAUGGUAAGGCAGAUGGGAAAGCCUUGGGAUUAACCCAAGGAUUGCAUUUGGAACUGGCAAGCUAGAGUACAGGAGAGGUAAGCGGAAUUCCUGGUGUAGCGGUGAAAUGCGUAGAUAUUAGGAAGAACACCAGUUGCGAAGGCGGCUUUCUGGACUGAAACUGACGCUGAGGCACGAAAGCGUGGGGAGCGAACAGGAUUAGAUACCCCAGUAGUC
rnacentral:rRNA from 1 species